CGAACGCUGGCGGCGUGCUUAACACAUGCAAGUCGAACGGUGAAGCGCCUUCCUUUUUGGUGGGUGUGGAUGAGUGGCGAACGGGUGAGUAACACGUGAGUAACCUGCCCCCUUCUUCUGGAUAACCGCAUGAAAGUGUGGCUAAUACGGGAUAUUCUGGGUCUGUCGCAUGAUGGGUCUGGGAAAGAUAUUGUUUCGGUGGGGGAUGGGCUCGCGGCCUAUCAGCUUGUUGGUGGGGUGAUGGCCUACCAAGGCGGUGACGGGUAGCCGGCCUGAGAGGGUGGACGGUCACACUGGGACUGAGACACGGCCCAGACUCCUACGGAAGGCAGCAGUGGGGAAUAUUGCACAAUGGGCGCAAGCCUGAUGCAGCGACGCCGCGUGAGGGAUGGAGGCCUUCGGGUUGUGAACCUCUUUCGCCAGUGAAGCAGGCCUGCCUCGUUUGUGGGUGGGUUGACGGUAGCUGGAUAAGAAGCGCCGGCUAACUACGUG
rnacentral:rRNA from 1 species